GACGAACGCUGGCGGCGUGCUUAACACAUGCAAGUCGAGCGGUAAGGCCCUUUCGGGGGUACGACGAGCGGCGAACGGGUGAGUAACGCGUGGGUGACCUGCCCUUAGCUCUGGGAUAAGCCUGGGAAACUGGGUCUAAUACCGGAUAUGACUCCAUGACGCAUGUUGUGGGGUGGAAAGCCUUGUGCGGCUAGGGAUGGGCCCGCGGCCUAUCAGCUUGUUGGUGGGGUGAGGCCUACCAAGGCGACGACGGGUAGCCGGCCUGAGAGGGCGACCGGCCACACUGGGACUGAGACACGGCCCAGACUCCUACGGGAGGCGAGCAGGUAGGGGAAUCUUGCGCAAUGGGCGAAAGCCUGACGCAGCGACGCCGCGGUGGGGAGUG
rnacentral:rRNA from 1 species